rnacentral:rRNA from 1 species
GAUGAACGCUGGCGGCGUGCUUAACACAUGCAAGUCGAACGAAGUUUUUCCUUCGGGAGAAACUUAGUGGCGGACGGGUGCGUAACGCGUGGGUAACCUUCCCUGUACAGGGGGACAACAGCUGUAAACGGCUGCUAAUACCGCAUAAGCCCUUAGCACUGCAUGGUGCAUAGGGAAAAGGAGCAAUCCGGUACAGGAUGGACCCGCGUCUGAUUAGCCAGUUGGCAGGGUAACGGCCUACCAAAGCGACGAUCAGUAGCCGGACUGAGAGGAUGUACGGCAACAUUGGGACAGAGACACGGCCCAGACUCCUACGGGAGGCAGCAGGGGGGAAUGAUGCACAAUGGAGGAAACACUGAGGCAGCGGGGCCGCGUGAGUGAAGAAGUAUUGCGGUAUGUAAAGCUCUAUCAGCAGGGAAGAAAAUAACGGUACCGGACUAAGAGGCACCGGCAAAAUACGU